rnacentral:rRNA from 1 species
GCUCAUCCCGGCCUGGGGCUGUAGUAGGUCCAAAGGGUUGGGCUGUUCGCCCAUUAAAGGGGGACGCGAGCUGGGUUCAGAACGUCGUGGGACAGUUCGGUCCCUAUCCGUCGCAGGCGUAGGAAAUUUGAGACGACCUGUCCUUAGUACGAGAGGACCGGGAUGGACGUACCUCUGGUGUACCAGGUGUCCUGCCAAGGGCAUGGCUGGGUAGCUAUGUACGGAAUGGAUAAGCGCUGAAAGCAUCUAAGCGCGAAGCCAACUUCAAGAUAAGAUUUCCCACCG